UCGGAUCCAUCUUUUUUUAUAAGUAUUAAAAAAAAAAAAGAUGGAUCCAAUGGAUAAUCAUUGGAUCCAUCGGAUCCAUCUUUUUUUAUAAGUAUUAAAAAAAAAAGAUGGAUCCAAUGGAUAAGUAUUUAGUUAUAGCUAAAUACUUAUCCAUUGGAUCCAUACCUAAUUUUAGUGUGCAGUAAUAACCAAUUUGUGCAGUG
rnacentral:lncRNA from 1 species